UGUUGCCUCCCAGCAAAAAUGUUUCUGGUUCGAGCCUCGGCUGGGUCAGUUGGCAUUUCUGUGUGAAGUUUGCAUGUUCUCCCCGUGUUGGCGUGGGUUUCCUCCGGGUGCUCCGGUUUCCCCCACAAGACAUGCGGUACAGGUGAAUUGGCUCAGAUUGUGAUGGACCUGGAAUGCGACACCAGUUACUCUUAAGUCAAGAACCAAAUGAAGCACCAGAGUACAGAUUAUGGAGGUUCCUUGUAAAGAUGAACCCAGGGAAGGAUCGAAAGUGGAGAAGACCAGAUCAAGAAAGACCACAUCAAGAUCUG
ensembl:processed_transcript